ensembl:lncRNA
CACCUCCCAAGAAGCAUAAUUUUUUUAAGGAAUUAUAAAUUUCUGGUGCAUGUAGUAACAUUAACUUCAUGUUUAAUAUCACAAAAGCUAAAGUAUGGAUCAAACAGACCUGGUUCUAUCACUUAAUAGCAUGAAGCCUCCAAAAGUUUCCUUAACCUCUCUGAGCCCUGGUUUCAUCAUUUAUAAAAAGAUGGAGUUCUCAUCUUUGGACAGAACUCUCAACUGAAGAACUAUUUUGUAGUCUUUAUUUCUGCCUUGACAUGAUUGUUAUUAUCAAGGCUACUUGCCUAUCAUGGAAUCAGGUCCAAGACUGAAUGGGCCAUCCAGUAUUAACCAGACAGCAGGUACCAGGCACAUCUCAUUUCUCAGUGUGCUCUGGGAAUGAGUAAGAUUGACUUGAGCGUUAUAAAGUCUGUAUCUAUCCCUUGACAAUGAGUAUGUGAUGCAAUGGUGUGUUUUUAUAUAUGCAGUAGGGCUUCCUGGCGGCUCAGACAGUAAAGAAUCUGCCUGCAAUGCAGGAGACCUGGGAUCAGUCCCUGGGUUGGGAAGAUCCCCUGGAGAAGGGACUGGCAACCCACUCCAGUAUUCUUGCCUGGAAAAUCCCAUGGACAGAGGAGCCAGGCGGGCUACAGUCCAUGGGGUUACAAAGAGUCGGACACAACUAACACUUUGACUUUCGGUUACCCCUUACCUGAGGGGGAUACAUCCCAAGACUCCCAGUGGAUACCUGAGACCUGGAAUAAUACCAACCCCAUACGCACUAUGAUGAAGUUUAAUUUAUAAAUCAGGUACUGUAGGAGAUUAACAAUAAUUGUUAAUAAAGUAAAACAAUUAUAAAAAUAGAUUGCAAUAAGUUAUGUGAAUGUGUCUGACUUUCAAAAUAUAAGAUUCUAGUGUGUCUGUGUAUGUGUGUGUGUACACAUAUAUAAUACAUGUCAUAUCUUCUUUAUUUACCUGUUGAUGAACCUGUAGAUUCUGGACCAUACAGUGGCUCUAUUCUUAAUAUUUUUGAGGAAUCUCCAUACUGUUUUCCAUAGUGACUGCACCAGUUUACAUUCCC